rnacentral:rRNA from 1 species
CAAUAGCGUAUAUUAAAGUUGUUGCGGUUAAAAAGCUCGUAGUUGGAUUUCUGUUGAGGACAGCGGGUCACUCCUAUGGAUGUGUAUCUUGCUUGGCCUCGGCAUCCUCUCGAAAUACGGUUCUGCGCUUGAUUGCGUGGGCUAGUAUUCGGGACUUUACUUGAGGAAAUUAGAGUGUUCACGGCAGGCCAUUGCCCUGAAUAUAUUAGCAUGGAAUAAUAAUAUAGGAUCUCGAUUCUAUUUUGUUGGUUUCAGGAAUCGAGGUAAUGAUUAAUAGGGACAAUUGGGGGCAUUCGUAUUACGGUGUUAGAGGUGAAAUUCUUGGAUCGCCGUAAGACGAACUACUGCGAAAGCAUUUGCCAAGGAUGUUUUCAUUAGUCAAGAACGAAAGUCAGAGGUUCAAAGAUGAUCA